CAACUUUCAAGGCUUGAUCAACCCCCAUUGCUGCAGAACAGCUUUAAGUUGUUAACCCAUUUCUUGUUCCCUGAAAAAGGACUUUUUUGGGUACCUGGAAAAAUUGGAGCAUUCUAAAACUUUUGACUGCUAGCGUAGCUAAGUUAGGAAUGAAACUUGGAAACAAGUGGUUCAAACUACUCAACCCAGCCAGACUGAGCCAGAACCUGCAGCUGAAACGAAGGAACUUAAGGCUGAAUGGAAACAUUUCAACUAGCUCUCUGAAGAAGGCCCUUAGAUGUGCUUGAAAGCCUUGAAAACCAAGUAAGAGACACUUGAGUUAUGUAUUUUUUUUUUUUUUUUUGCAUUGGUGCAGACAUCACUGAUAUAAUUUAAGAGAAAACAUGGAUGCUUUCCUCGGCGAGCUCCACCUCUUUUUCCCUCCCUCUCUCUCUGUCUCUCCUCCACAGCUGUACAGGAAAUCAGUCAUGCACCAUCCACUGCUGUCGCCAUGGCAACACAGAGGGGGAAAUCCAUUCUCCGUCACCGUCACCACCCCCCACCCCUUUCUCCCUCAUCCUUUCUUUUGUCUUGUUGAACGAGGUGCAGCUCAGUUUUCGGAGCAUUUUCGCGCCUUGUUUUUGGUGAAUUUUAGCAGAUUUAACGGCGUCGUGUCCCUCUGCUCGCCUCCUCUGUGACGCCCUCCAUGCAUCGGGACCAUUUGAGCCGAUUGUUUGAGAGCAUUAGGUGACGGCGAGUCUCCAACAGCGGCGGUGACCUCUCCGUAAAUCCCAUGGGGCAUCGGGACAGGACAGGCGGGGCGGCUCCAGCAGCAGCAGCAGCUGCCUGGAGGAGGCAGAUGGUCACAAAUCAGAAAUGAAAAUCCAGGCCCUCCUCCCCCUCCACAACGUCUGCAAUGAUAACCCCACCCUCACACACAGACAAGCACAGGGUUUCUGCAGGGCAUUAAAAAGCAUUAAUAGUCAUUAAGUUAAUUUUGCGAAAGUUAAGGCCUUAAAUGGCAUUAAAAAUCAUUACAUUUGAUUCUCAGUGGCGUUAAAAAUUCUUUCUGCAGUUUUUUGGCAGUUUUUCUGCCAAAAACUGCACGUUUUUAACCCUUGUGUCGUCCUGCGGGUCAAAUUGACUCGUUUUAAAGUUUGAAAAUGUGGAAAAAAAAAUUUUUUUACAGUGAAACUUCUGAUGUCGACAUUUUCAACAUUAUUGGG
ensembl:lncRNA